AGUGCCAUUGCUGUGUCAUAUGGUAAGUCUAUGUGUAACUUUUUGAGGAACUACCAAAGUGUUUUCCACAGUGGCUGCACCAUUUACAUUCUCAUCAGCAAU
rnacentral:pre_miRNA from 1 species